rnacentral:snRNA from 1 species
UAACUCCGGUGUCUCCUCAUUUGCGGAUAAAUCUUUCGCCCUUUACUAAAGGUUUCCGUGGGGAGGCACAAUACAAUGAGUCAUCUCAUUUUUUCCAACUCCGUCUUUGCACGGAGU